AUCAUAGGUGACGAUGAGAUGAUUCAUUAUAUCUUAACCGGUCUUGAUUUUGAAUACAACACUUUUGUUACCUCGAUCCUUGGCCGGGUCGAAUCCAUAUCUCUAAGUGAUCUGUACUCCCAACUAUUGUCCUACGAUA